rnacentral:sRNA from 1 species
UAUUUCAGUACCCCAUCUCGCGGCGCGC